GAUGAACGCUGGCGGCAUGCCUAAGACAUGCAAGUCGUACGAAGUAGCCCAAAGAAGUGGAGUGCUUGCACGAAGCGGACUUGGAUCACUACUUAGUGGCGGAAGGGUGAGUAACACGUGGGUAAUCUGCCUCAGAGACUGGGAUAACUACUAGAAAUGGUAGCUAAUACCGGAUGAGAGAUAGAAAGAUACGUUUUUCUAUAGUAAAAGAAGCCUUAAAGCUUCACUUUGAGAUGAGCCUGCGGCGUAUUAGCUAGUUGGUGGGGUAAAGGCCUACCAAGGCGACGAUGCGUAGCCGACCUGAGAGGGUGAUCGGCCACACUGGGACUGAGACACGGCCCAGACUCCUACGGGAGACAGCAGUUAGGAAUAUUCGUCAAUGGGGGGAACCCUGAACGAGCAAUGCCGCGUGAACGAAGAAGGUCCUCUGGAUUGUAAAGUUCUGUUGUUAGGGACGAACGACCAGUAUAGGAAAUGAUACUGGAGUGACGGUACCUUUCAAGAAAGCUCCGGCUAACUACGUGCCAGCAGCCGCGGUAAUACGUAGGGAGCGAGCGUUAUCCGGAUUUAUUGGGUGUAAAGGGUGCGUAGGCGGAUUAAUAAGUUGGUGGUCUAAGCCCGAAGCUUAACUUCGGUUCGCCACCAAAACUGUUAACCUUGAGUAUGGUAGAGGCAAGUGGAAUUUCUAGUGUAGCGGUUAAAUGCGUAGAUAUUAGAAGGAACAUCAGUGGCGAAGGCGACUUGCUGGGCCAACACUGACGCUGAGGCACGAAAGCGUGGGGAGCAAAUAGGAUUAGAUACCCUAGUAGUCCACGCC
rnacentral:rRNA from 1 species